rnacentral:lncRNA from 1 species
UUUUUUCAUUGGAAGAGAUGUGACUGGAUUUGCUUUAAUUAGAUGGAUGCAGACGCAACCAUAUUAAGAGAUCUUUAUGUUUGGCUUUGCACUUUUCACAGCUUGCCAUUUGCAAUUGUAAAGGUGCCUGGUAUCAGAGGAUUCACCUGUGGAGACAAAAAUGUGCUGAGGGAAAAAAUUUGGUUCACGCAAGCGACUCUGCUGCAAGGAGGAUGGAGACUGGCAGAAAGCCCCUUGCCCUCCCCAGCUGGGCAGAAAGCAGUUUCAUGGUGGAAAAGCCCCAGAACAAACAGGGCUAUAAACAACACCCAGAAGUGGAAAAGUUGCCUGAAUACUUAGCAGUUGCCUAAUUCAGCUGGUAAAAGUUCUUCCAAGGAGUUCUCCAUGGAAGAGCAAUUAUUUCCUCUCUCUACAUGGCUCCCUAAGCUGGUCUGCAAGAGAAUCUUGGCCAGCUGAAGAGCUGGGAAAGAGCUUUUCACUGAAAAUGAAGCAGCAGUUAAGUGACUUACAGGUGUUGGCUUUUUGUCACUCCUCUGUCUAGCGCACCCCAAGGACAUCUUCCAGAACUGCUAUAAGCAUAUGGGUGUCCCUCGGACAGGGACAUUUUUGAGGGCGACUAAAGGAUGUUUUGUGGGGGUGCCUCUCUGAGCCAUUCUAAAGCUGGGAACCGGAUGCUUAUAUUUUUAUUUUAUUCUUUGCUGUGUUCCUUAGCUAUUUUUUUCAUCCCAACGUCAUAGACCUCAUUUACUUUAUUUUAGUGGCAUGGGCAGGGGAUGGAAAAUCCAUUUUUUUUCUCCUUCAACUUUCUUGCAAGUCACUGGACUUGUGCAUUUAUUUUCUGCGUAGCCUAUGUGCAAUUCUUCUGAUUAGAUCCCAGCUGCCACCUCUCCACUGUACGCGUACCCUGAACCUUAAAGCAAAAUAAAAGCUGCAAUUUCAUAAUUCCA